CCGCCGCUACUGUAUUGUGUACGUUCAGCCUUGCUUCCGAUUGCCGGAAUCACCGCGUGCCCACGCAUUGCGCACCCUUAGACGGGAGUCCAAGCCUUAUUGUCCCUCUUUAGCGACGAUUAUGGCCUACUAUAGCGCUCUAGUUUCUAAAUAGCCGGACUCCUACUCGGGCGCAUCCUAAUCGAUCAACCACCCCAUUUCCGGGUGGUUCCGCUACUAG
rnacentral:rRNA from 1 species